GGUUCUUCUGCGCGAGCGAGCUUAAGACAGCUGGCGGCGAAGAGGUCAGUGGAGAAAGCCAGCGCUCGCGGCCUUCGGGAAGAACAUUGAAAUUUGUGAAUAUCUCUGGUUCCUAAUUUUACAUCCUUGGCAAUUUGCAGAAUAUGAUCAGAAAUGGAAAAAGGAUAAGAAGGUACCCAGAGCUAUAUGAAUAUGGAAUAACAACUUUUUUUUUUAAAGGAAACUGGAAUGUAUCCAUUUUAAGCUGACCUUCCCCACAGUUGUCUUGUUGCAUUAACUACUUAAUUUAUUGUUGUUGCUGACAGUAAAUGGUUUUGGAAGCAUUUGGAGCUGCCAGUUUGCAAGGCGUAUAAUAAAAUCUUUUGUUAUGCUUCAUUUUCGACAGAACUAUCAUCUAGCUUGAUUUACUGGACUCAACUAGGGGGCUUUUGGCUAUUGGUAGAAGUCAAAUCCAACCUGAAGAGAAUUUACAAGCUGUAAAGGCAGCUCCAAAAGCUUUUCCAAAAAUCUUUUAGAAUAACAAUGUCUCAUUCUUUUUAUCUUCCGCAGUGCAUAGCCUGACUCCUCACAGAUAGCUCAAACUCAGAACAUAUUUUAUCCAGUUAAGACAGUUUAAUACAAAUAGUCUUAUUUAAUGGUUCACAUUUUGAAUAAGCUCUUUUAUUUUCUCUUGUUAUUACUGUGUUUGCAAUACUAAAACCCAGUCGGAAGAGAUUUAUAAAAAUAUUAAGGUAUGAAACAUGAAGUACAUAAUAUAUUUCUGACUUGUUUUAAAUAUGUAUUACUCAUUUUUAAUAAAGUAAUACAUGAAAUCAUUUUAAUUCAACAAUACAAAAGAAUUAGCGGAAAAAUAGUGUCCCCCUUCACCUUUCCCCUCCCGCACCAGAGUAAUCACUGUUAUCACUUUGAUGUGUUUUAGACCUGUGCUGUCUGAUAUGACAGCCACUGGCCACAUUGGCUACUGGGUGCUUGAAAUGUAGCUGACCUAAAUUGAGAUGUGCUUUAAAUGUAAAAUACACAUUGUAUUUCAAAGAUGUAGUAUGAAAAAACUGUAAAAUAUCUUACUUUUUUUUUUAUUGAUUACAUGUUGAAAUAACUUUUUAUAUAUUGGGUUAAAUAAAAUAUUACAUUUAAUUUUA